rnacentral:rRNA from 1 species
GAUGAACGCUGGCGGCGUGCCUAAUACAUGCAAGUCGAGCGAACAGACGAGGAGCUUGCUCCUCUGACGUUAGCGGCGGACGGGUGAGUAACACGUGGAUAACCUACCUAUAAGACUGGGAUAACUUCGGGAAACCGGAGCUAAUACCGGAUAAUAUAUUGAACCGCAUGGUUCAAUAGUGAAAGACGGUUUUGCUGUCACUUAUAGAUGGAUCCGCGCCGCAUUAGCUAGUUGGUAAGGUAACGGCUUACCAAGGCAACGAUCCGUAGCCGACCUGAAAGGGUGAUCGGCCACACUAGAACAGAGACACGGACCAGAAUACUAGGGGAGGCAGCAGUGGGGAAACGAACGCAAGGGGCGAAAGCCUGACGGAGAAACGCCGCGGGAGUGAUGAAGGUCUUCGGAUCGUAAAACUCUGUUAUUAGGGAAGAACAAAUGUGUAAGUAACUAUGCACGUCUUGACGGUACCUAAUCAGAAAGCCACGGCUAACUACGUG